rnacentral:rRNA from 1 species
AACGCACCUUGCGCCCUUUGGCCAUUCCGAAGGGGCAUGCCUGUUUGAGUAUCAUGAACACCUCAACUCAUUGUGGUUUUCCAUGAUGAGCUUGGACUUUGGGGGUUUUGCUGGCCUAUGGUCAGCUCCUCUAAAACGGAUCAGCUUACCGGUGUUUGGUGGGCACCAUGGGUGUGAUAACUAUCUACGCUUGUGGUUUUUCCACCAGGUAACCUUCAGCAGUGGAGGUUCACUGGAGCUCAUAGAUGUCUCUCCUUAGUGAGGACAGCCCUUUGAAUGUUUGAUCUCAAAUCAGGUAGGACUACCCGCUGAACUUAA